rnacentral:rRNA from 1 species
GACGAACGCUGGCGGCGUGCUUAACACAUGCAAGUCGAACGGUAAGGCUCCAGCUUGCUGGGGUACACGAGUGGCGAACGGGUGAGUAACACGUGGGUGACCUGCCCUGCACUUCGGGAUAAGCCUGGGAAACUGGGUCUAAUACCCGAUAGGACCGCACCGUGAGGGGGUGGUGGAAAGUUUUUGCGGUGUGGGGUGGGCCCGCGGCCUAUCAGCUUGUUGGUGGGGUAAUGGGCUACCAAGGCCGCGACGGGUAGCCGGCCUGAGAGGGUGGACGGCCACAAUGGGACUGAGACACGGACCAGACUCCUACGUGAGGCAGCAGUGGGGAAUAUUGCACAAUGGGCGGAAGCGUGAUGCGGCGACGCUGCGUGGGGGAUGACGGCCUUCGGGUUGUAAACUCCUUUCACCAUCGACGAAGGGUUUCUGACGGUAGAUGGAGAAGAAGCACCGGCUAACUACGUG